rnacentral:rRNA from 1 species
AGAGUUUGAUCAUGGCUCAGAAUCAACGCUGGCGGCGUGCCUAACACAUGCAAGUCGAACGCGGUUACCUCGCAAGGGGUUAGUAGAGUGGCAAACGGGUGAGUAACACGUGGGUGAUCUGCCUCAGAGUGGGGGAUAACGACCCGAAAGGGUCGCUAAUACCGCAUAACAUCCUGCUUUUGGAUAAGUGGAGAUCAAAGCCGGGGAUCGCAAGACCUGGCGCUUGGAGAGGAGCCCGCGGCCGAUUAGCUAGUUGGUAGGGUAACGGCCUACCAAGGCAACGAUCGGUAUCCGGCCUGAGAGGGCGGACGGACACACUGGGACUGAGACACGGCCCUGACUCCUACGGGAGGCAGCAGUGGGGAAUUGUUCGCAAUGGGCGCAAGCCUGACGACGCAACGCCGCGUGGAGGACGAAGACCUUCGGGUCGUAAACUCCUUUCGAUCGAGAAGAAUGCCUAUGGGCUUAAUACGCCUAUAGGGUGACGGUAUCGAGAGAAGAAGCCCCGGCUAACUCUGUGCCAGCAGCCGCGGUAAUACAGGGGGGGCAAGCGUUGUUCGGAAUUACUGGGCGUAAAGGGCCAGUAGGCGGCCAACUAAGUCCGACGUGAAAUCCCCAGGCUUAACCUGGGAACUGCGUCGGAUACUGGAUGGCUUGAAUUCGGGAGAGGGAUGCAGAAUUCCAGGUGUAGCGGUGAAAUGCGUAGAUAUCUGGAGGAAUACCGGUGGCGAAGGCGGCAUCCUGGACCGACAUUGACGCUGAACGGCGAAAGCUAGGGGAGCAAACAGGAUUAGAUACCCUGGUAGUCCACGCCUUAAACGAUGGAUACUAAGUGUCGGCGGGUUACCGCCGGUGCCGCAGCUAACGCAGUAAGUAUCCCGCCUGGGAAGUACGGCCGCAAGGUUGAAACUCAAAGGAAUUGACGG